rnacentral:rRNA from 1 species
GACGAACGCUGGCGGCGUGCUUAACACAUGCAAGUCGAACGGAAAGGCCCAGCUUGCUGGGUGCUCGAGUGGCGAACGGGUGAGUAACACGUGGGUGAUCUGCCCCUAACUUCGGGAUAAGCGUGGGAAACUGGGUCUAAUACCGGAUAGGACAAUCGUUUAGUGUCGGUUGUGGAAAGUUUUUUUGGUUAGGGAUGAGCCUGCGGCCUAUCAGCUUGUUGGUGGGGUAAUGGCCUACCAAGGCGGCGACGGGUAGCCGGCCUGAGAGGGUGGACGGCCACAUUGGGACUGAGAUACGGCCCAGCCUCCUACGGGAGGCAGCAGUGGGGAAUAUUGCACAAUGGGCGCAAGCCUGAUGCAGCGACGCCGCGUGGGGGAUGACGGCCUUCGGGUUGUAAACCUCUUUCGACAGGGACGAAGCUUUGGUGACGGUACCUGUAUAAGAAGCACCGGCUAACUACGUG